UACGUAGGGCCCGAGCGUUAUCCGGUAUUAUUGGGCGUAAAGGGCGCGUAGGCGGCACGUCAAGCGCGUGGUGAAAGUCCGGGGCUCAACCCCGGAUCGGCCUUGCGGACGGCAUUGCUCGAGCAUGGUAGAGGCAGGUGGAAUUCCGGGUGUAGCGGUGGAAUGCGUAGAGAUCCGGAAGAACACCGGUGGCGAAGGCGGCCUGCUGGGCCAUUGCUGACACUGAGGCGCGACAGCGUGGGGAGCAAACAGG
rnacentral:rRNA from 1 species